UUAAAUUGAAGAGUUUGAUCAUGGCUCAGAUUGAACGCUGGCGGCAGGCCUAACACAUGCAAGUCGAACGGUAACAGGAAGCAGCUUGCUGCUUUGCUGACGAGUGGCGGACGGGUGAGUAAUGUCUGGGAAACUGCCUGAUGGAGGGGGAUAACUACUGGAAACGGUGGCUAAUACCGCAUAACGUCGCAAGACCAAAGAGGGGGACCUUCGGGCCUCUUGCCAUCAGAUGUGCCCAGAUGGGAUUAGCUUGUUGGUGAGGUAACGGCUCACCAAGGCGACGAUCCCUAGCUGGUCUGAGAGGAUGACCAGCCACACUGGAACUGAGACACGGUCCAGACUCCUACGGGAGGCAGCAGUGGGGAAUAUUGCACAAUGGGCGCAAGCCUGAUGCAGCCAUGCCGCGUGUAUGAAGAAGGCCUUCGGGUUGUAAAGUACUUUCAGCGGGGAGGAAGGUGUUGUGGUUAAUAACCGCAGCAAUUGACGUUACCCGCAGAAGAAGCACCGGCUAACUCCGUGCCAGCAGCCGCGGUAAUACGGAGGGUGCAAGCGUUAAUCGGAAUUACUGGGCGUAAAGCGCACGCAGGCGGUCUGUCAAGUCGGAUGUGAAAUCCCCGGGCUCAACCUGGGAACUGCAUUCGAAACUGGCAGGCUUGAGUCUUGUAGAGGGGGGUAGAAUUCCAGGUGUAGCGGUGAAAUGCGUAGAGAUCUGGAGGAAUACCGGUGGCGAAGGCGGCCCCCUGGACAAAGACUGACGCUCAGGUGCGAAAGCGUGGGGAGCAAACAGGAUUAGAUACCCUGGUAGUCCACGCCGUAAACGAUGUCUACUUGGAGGUUGUGCCCUUGAGGCGUGGCUUCCGGAGCUAACGCGUUAAGUAGACCGCCUGGGGAGUACGGCCGCAAGGUUAAAACUCAAAUGAAUUGACGGGGGCCCGCACAAGCGGUGGAGCAUGUGGUUUAAUUCGAUGCAACGCGAAGAACCUUACCUGGUCUUGACAUCCACAGAAGAAUUCAGAGAUGGAUUUGUGCCUUCGGGAACUGUGAGACAGGUGCUGCAUGGCUGUCGUCAGCUCGUGUUGUGAAAUGUUGGGUUAAGUCCCGCAACGAGCGCAACCCUUAUCCUUUGUUGCCAGCGGUUAGGCCGGGAACUCAAAGGAGACUGCCAGUGAUAAACUGGAGGAAGGUGGGGAUGACGUCAAGUCAUCAUGGCCCUUACGACCAGGGCUACACACGUGCUACAAUGGCGCAUACAAAGAGAAGCGACCUCGCGAGAGCAAGCGGACCUCAUAAAGUGCGUCGUAGUCCGGAUUGGAGUCUGCAACUCGACUCCAUGAAGUCGGAAUCGCUAGUAAUCGUGGAUCAGAAUGCCACGGUGAAUACGUUCCCGGGCCUUGUACACACCGCCCGUCACACCAUGGGAGUGGGUUGCAAAAGAAGUAGGUAGCUUAACCUUCGGGAGGGCGCUUACCACUUUGUGAUUCAUGACUGGGGUGAAGUCGUAACAAGGUAACCGUAGGGGAACCUGCGGUUGGAUCACCUCCUUACCUUAAAGAAGC
rnacentral:rRNA from 1 species